UGGGGUAUAGCUCAGUGGUAGAGCGCAUGCUUAGAACACACGGGGUCCUGUGUUCAACCCCCAGUACCUCCA
rnacentral:tRNA from 1 species